UNCCCAUAGAUGGUGCUAGAAAGGUGGA
rnacentral:piRNA from 1 species